rnacentral:piRNA from 1 species
UAGGAUUUCCAGGGCACAGUAGGGCAGC